CGUUCAUUUUCGAUUCUAGGGUUUGUUUGUUGAUGUACUUAAAGGGUUUUAGGUUUGGAUUUUUGAGUUUCCAUUUUAUUGAAGUCUUAUUUUGAUCUAUUGCUUGUUUGGAUUGAUUCGUUUGUGUGAUUGGGUUUCUUGGCAUUGAUUCAAUUAUCGAUUAGCGCUCACCAUUUGUUGAAGCACGCUAUGUUAUCGUCUUAGAAUUUUGUUGCGUUAGCUGGUUCCACUGUAAGUGAUUUAGGUGGUCUUGCUUCCCAUGGUGUUUUACAGUCAAAGAUCUUUUGGUGUAACUUUCUGGGAGACAGAGACGGCAGGAGUAGCACUGAAGAUGAUCCUGAUGAUGGCAGAAGAUGAUCCCGAUGAUGUAGAUUUUGAACCUGAUUAUGGCAUUACAAGUGAACGCACAUUGAAAAAGGUGGGAGCAAGAAUGGCAUAAUCCUAGGCUUGGGUAUGAUUUUUGGUACAAAAACAAAACACAAGACCAUGAUAAGUUCAACCCAAACUCAAGGUACAAGAUAUAAUCCACAAUAAGAAUGGGAAAACAGUGGCAAUGCUUCAUUGGAGACUGUUCUAGAAAGGGAAAAGGAUUCAAGUCAUUGUUCUAAGCUCAUCUUCUCUAGAACAGGAGUAAGUUGCCAAUUGUCCGACAAGAUAUGUCCUUGAUGCUCUUGUGAAACCAUGUAGAUGUUAUAAUGUCAUUACAUUGAUAACACAUUAUUUUUAGGAUCUAAGUUUGGUAUUUAAUUUGACAUGCAGGAAAAUCUAUCUCCAAAAGAUUCAAGGCACAAACUUGAUGAAAGGUAUCUAGAAAAUGGUAAAUAUGAAAUGGAAAAUUUAGAAGUUACAGCAAGUACAGCAGAAACAGGGGUAAGUAAAGUAUGUAUACUUUCUGCGACAUGAUGAUAGUGAUAGUGUUACCAAGAAGAUGAGGUUGAAAAAUACAUAUAUUUUUUCAUUGAUUUUCCACUGAUAAGAAAGCUUUAAUGACUGUUUCUUAAUUGUAACGUUAAUUUGAUUACUAUAAUAUUUAGAGCUAAAUGGCUGUUUGUUUUUAAUUGAGUGUUGAAUGUCCAAUAUAUUUUGGCUUUUAUUUUGCUUCUUGCAUCUCACACUAGCCAAUUUUGUUCCUUGAUUAUGUGUGUAAAUAUGUAUAUAUAUAUAGAUAUUGACUAUUGUAAUAGUGAGUUGUGGCCUUCGAUUUGAGUUGUUUGCUACUAUAAAUGAAUUCAAGUAAUUUCAUUGCAUUCAUAGAUCUUGUACUUACGUGUUUUUUUGCUGUUAUGGAUUCCCCUCUAUUUCAUCAGAUUUAGAAAAACUGUAAAUCUAAUAUUUGUGUGCUGUGUGUUACUUUCGGCCAUGUGCUGUGUGUUACUUUCGGCCAUGUGCUGUGUGUUACUUUCGGCCAAGUAAUUUCAUGGCCAUGUGCUGUGUGUUACUUUCGGCCCCACGGCCGUACCCGGCCUACGCCGCACUCGGCCCUUGCCGUUCAUUUCAUUAAAAUCACACAUAUAGUACAUUCGAAAUAAUCAUUCACACACAUCAUGAUUCAUUUAAGGUUAAACAUUUGCACAUAAUACAAUUUGGGGCCAUGCCCUGAAAUCACACAGUAGGGCCAUGCCCUAUUCUCGGGUGUUAUGGUUUUCUUACCUUUAGAUUCAGUAGCCUUGAUCAACCUGACUCCUUGAGCACGAUCUUACCCGAGCCCUAGCGCCUACCUAAGCAAAAUCCACAAGUCAAAGUCAUCACCAAUCCUCAAGUCCAAAACCUAGCCUCGGGACUAAUCCCGAGCCCCCGGGAAGUCCUAGAUCCCCAAAACAAAGUGGCGGAAUCAAGCCCCGAACCCUAGGUCAAAAUCCCUUCACAAAAGCCCAAAAAUCCCCUCUGUGAACAGUGCAGCGCUACAGCGCUCAAAAGAGGGCGCUGUAGCGCUACAAGCAGAACCACCCUCACCAGACAGGGGCUAGCGCUACAGCGCCCCCUGCCAAGCGCUGUAGCGCUAGUUGCAGCAGACCAAAACCAAAAAUCGCAUCUUGCGAUUUUCUUCCCCCAUUUCGACCCCAAACUUGUCCAACUCUUUCCCAAGCCCAAAAACAAACUUAUACACACCUCACACUCAUCCCAAGCACCCCAUGAACUCAAUCCCAAGCUCAAGCAACCCACAACUCAAAAUCUAACUCAAUGAACCCAUAAACCAGAAAAUCACUCAAACAACAAGGAUAGGGUCUUAGAAAUCAUACCGUGGGUGGAAUUUUGACCUUGAACUGAACCCUAGACCUCCUUAGCUUGCACCUUCACAACCUUGACAUGUUUUCCCCAAAAACCCCAUCCAUUUAGCUCAAAAACACAGCUCAAAACCAGCAAAACCCUAAAACCGAAAACCUCAAGAACUUACCUUAAAUCUUUGAUGUGAUCUUGCUAUUCCCUUGCCAAUCCUCAAGCCUAGCUUAGGAUCCUUAAUGCUCAGCUAACCCUAGCUUUCCACUGAGCUUGACCUCAAGAAAAAUCAAGGGAAAUGGUUGGGGGAGCCACAAACCGAAUCUCCAAAGCCAAACCCUUCAGCUUUCCCUCUCUUCUUUCUCUUCCUUCUUUCUUUCUUUUCAGCCUAUGCUUUUCUCUACAAAAUCCACUAAGUAUAAAGACCUUUAUUUUAUCUCUUACAAGCCUAAUGACCAAAAUUCCCUCCCUUACUAAUUCUAAACAUUUAUGUCCAUAAAGGGGCAUUUUAGUCAUAUUACCCAAAUUCCCACUAAUUCCUCAAGUGUUCCUAAUAAUUCUCGCUCGCUACCCAAUACCGGAUUAAUCAUCAAAUAUAUUCCCAAAUUCUCAAUUAAACUCCCUAGGCUUAACCCAAGCCUGGUACAGGUUCUCGCUUUGACUUUCCGCUAACCCGCUCAUUCUAGGAUCGUCUCGAGUCAUAGAUCACAGGUAUCAACAUAGUCAGGCCCAACAUGGCCAAAUUAAAAAUACACUCAAUCAGGUCUAUAUGCAUACUAAUUCACAUAGUCAUGCAUCACAAUUAAUCAAAUAGUCAUAUAACGUGCAUUAAAUCAUAUUCAUGCAUUAAACUCAUAAAAGUCACACACAGAAUUCCAUUAUGCCCUCCAGGCACACUACUCCAGGCCCUUAAGCCUUAAUACCGAAUUUGGGGUCCUUACACCAAGCUUGUAUUGUGAAUGGGGUUUGAUUUGUGACACAUAAUCGAGAUCAGAAUCAUUACACAAAAUAGUGGAGUAUCUGUUGCUGGAGAAAAAAGUUUGAUAUUUUAUGGCCAACUUGAGUAAGUAUUGGAACUAUCUUAUACAGGUGAAUAUAAAGUAGUAUUAUUUCGGUGCAAAUGGUUCAAUACUGAUCCGAGCAGGAACAAAUCAAUCACUAAAAAUAAUAUUACUAGUAUAAAUGUCACUAGUGAAUGGUAUAAAGAUGACCAGUAUAUACUUGCUACCCAAGCGAAGCAAGUUUUCUAUCUUGAUGGUCUGUUGAUAGGUCAAGGUUGGAAGGUGGUUCAAGAUGUGAAUCAUAGACAUGUUUGGGAUAUUCCAGAGGCUAAUGAAGUCAUCACUGAUAUUGAUGUUGUCCACAUUGAGAACUCAUCAAAUUUCAUCCUAACUGUCGAUUUGGGAGAGUUGAUUGUGCAAUAGUCUAAUGAACUAGCUCAACAUGUUGACGUUGUGUCUCGUCCUUCUACUACUAAUCAACAAGACCAUGAUAGUGGAGAUGAAGGUUUUAUUAAUGAUGAUAAUGAGGAUAACGAUGAUGAAGAAUGAGGAGCAAAUGAUAAGGAAGAACUGCUUGAAGACAUUAGUGAUGACUAAUUUGAAUCCCAUUAAUGUAGCUUCAAGUAUUGAUGAUAGUGAUUACUCUAUGUAGUAGAAUUUUGUUAUCAUAAAUGUAACAAAACUUUAUGUUUAGAAAUAAUAAUGUGUCUCUUUUUAUUAUUUCAAUACAUAUUUUUGUUAUAAAGAUGUCAGCAGAUGUCGCACACUCUCAUAGUGGAGAGGCAGGUGGUGAUCCUCCACCUGAUCCUACUAGGAUCCUUUCAUCUUGUCAGUCAGCUCUGCAUAGAGGGCCUGGAUGAGGAAUGGGUCAGGAACUCGAAAAGGCAAGGCGCAAAGCUGGCAAACCAAUUCCAAUAACUUUUGACCCAGACACUUAUAAGCCAUUGGGUAAGCAUGGAACAUGGUUCACACAUUUAGUUAGAAACACCGUGACUAACAAAUUGCCACCAUAUUUUCCAAAUUGGAAAUCAGUGCCUGAUCGAUACAAACAUUUGCUUUAUACCAUUGUUAAGCAUUAUUUUGAAAUAGCAGAGCAGCCAGACUAUGAUCAUAUUAUUGAGGCUAUAGAUGAUGGUGCUGGCGUCAAAUAUCGUGAUAGGAAAAUACGUAGGAAGGCAUACUUCAAGAAUGUUUAUGGUAAUGAUAAGAACUUAGAGCAGGCCCUCAACAACCCCCACAGUGGUGUUAAUGCUCAAGAUUAGAGACAAUGCAUUGACUUAUGGUUGAAUGAAAAAUCAAUUAAAUGGGCAGAAAAGAAUCAAGCAAAUAGGGAUUUGAUGAAGUAUCCUUCUACUCAAGGAUCGAAGUCAUUUGUGGUGGCCCGUCAUGAUAGAGUGAACCAGGAAUCUCAGAAUGUACCAGGUUACAUUGAAAGCUGGAAGCAAUUCCACAUUCGCAAGGAUAAAGAAGAAUUCGUCAAUGAGCAAGCGAAAACGGACUAUGUAAGACGUAUCUUAUUGUUUGACCUUAAAAUCACUAUGAUUUGGAUGUAUUACUAAUAUUUUUAUGUAAAAAGAGGAAAUGAUGUACAAAGAUUUUGAAGCGCAGAGCCAGCAAGUCCUGUCUUGUAUUUCUGAUGAAGGAAGUUCGGUUCACGAAAUGAUGAUCAUGAAAAAAGUGUUGGGUGAACGUCCCAGGCAUGAACGAGGAGUUGGUUGCACAUUAAAGGGGGAAAAUGGCUCCAGUAGUCAAUCUCAGACUCGGGCACAGUCGUCGUCAUACACCCAGCCUGCUCAAUCCAAUGAUAAUAAUAACAUGAUGGGACAGGCGAUGGCUAACUUGCUAAGACAAUACAAAGCAGACAUUGAAUUCCUGUCCCAGUGCCUUCCUCCUGAAUCCCACCCACCACCUCAAACAAUGAGAUCAGAUGAAGUAACUCAAUGGUGGAAGAUGUAUGCGGCUGUACCUUCACAAGCUCCACCACCGCCUCCACAUAUGUUCGAAGAUGACACGCCUACACAUGUUCCUUUGCCAAUCCUGCCUCAAUCUACAUCUAGAAAUGACGCGUCUUUGUCAGCACCUCCACCACGAUCUCCAUCGGCCCUAGUCAUUCAGUUUCCAGAUGACUUAGACAAUGAUGAUGUGACCAACUUAGGAUAGAUUAUAUAGUUAUAUAAAUAGUUGUGUUUAUUUGUUUUAAUACUAUUAAGACAAUUAUUAAUAUUAGAUUGUAUGGAUUAUUUUCUUAUCAAUUAAUGGAGACUACAAUUAUGAU